GGUAAACGCAACUUCACUUCCACUUCCAUAAUUGGUUUUUGUAUUUUUCAAGGAGAAAGGCCGAUUCGCUGAGAUUUGGAGUUGGGGUUGGUUUGUUUGCGCUCGAGGAGGUGGAGGAGAGCGGUGGAGGAAGUGGAAGCGGUUGUGGCUGAGGUGGAGGAAAUUGCAGUGGAGCGCCUGCGAGAUUCUUCGAGUUCUUCUUUAUCUUCGAUUCUGACUUCGAUUUUGGACGGUUUUCUUCUCAGCAUUUUGGUUGCAGGAACCAACAGCGAGUGUU
rnacentral:lncRNA from 1 species